rnacentral:rRNA from 1 species
UUUGACAUGCAAGUGGUAGGAAGCCGAAGUGACGACCUUCGGGAGCUUGCACAGGUGCUGCAUGGCUGUCGUCAGCUCGUGUCGUGAGAUGUUCGGUUAAGUCCGCUAACGAGCGCAACCCUCGCUGUGUGUUAUAUGUGUCACACGGGACUGCCGGUCUUAAGCCGGAGGAAGGUGGGGAUGAUGUCAAGUCAGCAUGGCCUUUAUAUCCUGGGCUACACACACGCUACAAUGGCCAACACAAUAGGUUGCUAAGCCGCGAGGUGGCGGCCAAUCCAUAAAGUUAGGUCUCAGUUCAGAUUGUAGGCUGCAACCCGCCUGCAUGAAGAUGGAGUUGCUAGUAACCGCAGGUCAGCUAUACUGCGGUGAAUACGUUCCCGGGGCUU